AUAUCCGACAUCCUGCUUCAUGCUGAGCUUGGCUGGACUGGUUUCCCAGGAGCACCAGCCCUUAGGCAGCCAGAGGGCAAGCGUGUGAUCGGGGAGGACGGCGCCGAGGGCUACAGUGACUUGUUCCAGGAGAACGCCAUGCUCCAGAAGGAGAACGCCACCUUGCUCAUGAGGGUGAAGGCCAUGCAGGAGGCCAUUGAUGCCAUCAACAGCCGGGUCACCCACCUGAGAGCCAGGAGGCCAAUUUGAUACUGGCCAAGGCAGGUGACGGCAACGAGGCCAUCGGCUCCCUGAUCCAGAACUACAUCUGGGAGAUCGAGCAGCUCAG